AAGCUUUUUGUGACGGUACCUGGAGAAGAAGCACCGGCUAACUACGUGCCAGCAGCCGCGGUAAUACGUAGGGCGCAAGCGUUGUCCGGAAUUAUUGGGCGUAAAGAGCUCGUAGGCGGUUUGUCGCGUCUGUCGUGAAAGUCCGGGGCUUAACCCCGGAUCUGCGGUGGGUACGGGCAGACUAGAGUGCAGUAGGGGAGACUGGAAUUCCUGGUGUAGCGGUGGAAUGCGCAGAUAUCAGGAGGAACACCGGUGGCGAAGGCGGUUCUCUGGGCAUUACCUGACGCUGAGGAGCGAAAGUGUGGGGAGCGAACAGGAUUAGAUACCCUGGUAGUCCACGCCGUA
rnacentral:rRNA from 1 species